rnacentral:rRNA from 1 species
GACGAACGCUGGCGGCGUGCUUAACACAUGCAAGUCGAACGGAAAGGCCCUGCUUUUGUGGGGUGCUCGAGUGGCGAACGGGUGAGUAACACGUGAGUAACCUGCCCUUGACUUUGGGAUAACUUCAGGAAACUGGGGCUAAUACCGGAUAGGAGCUCCUGCUGCAUGGUGGGGGUUGGAAAGUUUCGGCGGUUGGGGAUGGACUCGCGGCUUAUCAGCUUGUUGGUGGGGUAGUGGCUUACCAAGGCUUUGACGGGUAGCCGGCCUGAGAGGGUGACCGGCCACAGUGGGACUGAGAUACGGCCCAGACUCCUACGGGAGGCAGCAGUGGGGAAUAUUGCACGAUGGGCGGAAGCCUGAUGCAGCAACGCCGCGGGCGGGAUGACGGCCUUCGGGUUGUAAACCUCUUUCGCCUGUGACGAAGCGUGAGUGACGGUAAUGGGUAAAGAAGCACCGGCUAACUACGUG